rnacentral:tRNA from 1 species
GCUUCCUUAGCUCAUAUGGUAGAGCAUCUGUUUUGUAAUCAGAAGGUGACUGGUUCGAUCCCAGUAGGAAGCA